rnacentral:rRNA from 1 species
GACGAACGCUGGCGGCGUGCUUAACACAUGCAAGUCGAACGGAAAGGCCUCUUUCGGGGGGUACUCGAGUGGCGAACGGGUGAGUAACACGUGAGUAACCUGCCCUUGACUUUGGGAUAACUUCAGGAAACUGGGGCUAAUACCGGAUAGGAGCUCCUGCUGCAUGGUGGGGGUUGGAAAGUUUCGGCGGUUGGGGAUGGACUCGCGGCUUAUCAGCUUGUUGGUGGGGUAGUGGCUCACCAAGGCUUUGACGGGUAGCCGGCCUGAGAGGGUGACCGGCCACAUUGGGACUGAGAUACGGCCCAGACUCCUACGGGAGGCAGCAGUGGGGAAUAUUGCACAAUGGGUGGAAGCCUGAUGCAGCAACGCCGUGUGCGGGAUGACGGCCUUCGGGUUGUAAACCGCUUUCGCUCAUGACGAAGCUUUGUGUGACGGUAGUGGGGAAAGAAGCACCGGCUAACUACGU